GUGGUUCUGGCUCAGCAGUAGAGCACUCGCCUAGUAUGUGUGCAGUGUGGGUUCGAUCCUCAGCACAACA
rnacentral:tRNA from 1 species